GAUUUUGAUUGUAAUCCGUUAUGUAAUUGUAAUGUAAAUAAUUCGAGAUAUUGUGAUCACUUAAAUGGACAAUGUGAAUGUAAGCCUGGAUGGAGAGGUGUGCAAUGUGAUGAACCGUGUGAAUUCGGAUAUUGGGGAGAAAAUUGUAAAAAUAUAUGCAAUUGUAGAGGCGAGACAUGUUCUGCCAUUACUGGAAUAUGCCUUGAUUCUGUUCAUAAAGAAACGAGGAUUAAAAUCGUAUUUGGUGUGUCUUCUGCUGUUCUUCUAAUAGUGAUCAUUACUGUUUCGAUUUUAUUGCAUAUCUAUUGGAUAAAGAAGAGAAGAAAUAAAUUUACAAAUGCUACGGUCAAGUAUAUAAAGUAAAUACCAAACCAAUGCGCAUUAUAUGCCAUUUAAAUUUGAUUUAAUACAUCUCAGGAUUUUGUCACAGAAGUGGCACAAUAUAUAGGACUGAGUUCAGCUAGCCAAUCUAUUGAUUGGUUAAAUUACGUUUCUUAAAUUAAAUAUCGAAAUUUAAUUUGAAAUUGGUGAUUAAAUUUACUGUAAUACGAGAUGGCAGCAUAACUGCCUAACUAUAGUCAAUUAAUUUCUAAUAUAUAAUUAUAGCCUGUAUAUGCCUGCAUAUAGCCCAAAAAUUUGGCAUAUGGUGUGGCGUGUUGAUUAUAUAACGGGCUAUGGUUGUUGAUGUUUAUUCGUAAUAUGUAUGUACACAAGUUUGGAAAAAAUGUGUGAUCACAAGGGACACUUAAGAUGCUAGUAGAACGAGUGCUAAACACAGACUAAUGGAGCAUGGGCACAAUCUGGGACUUUCCUUUUCCUCGUCGUUCGCUAUCCAAGUCAUUUUUUACAAUUUGUUUUGCUCGUUAUGCGAAUUGUUC